rnacentral:ncRNA from 1 species
GGUUGAUAGGCCGGAUAUGGAAGCACGGUAACGUGUGGAGUUGACCGGUACUAAUAGGCCGAGGGCUUGUCCUC